rnacentral:rRNA from 1 species
UACGAAGGGGGCUAGCGUUGUUCGGAAUUACUGGGCGUAAAGCGCACGUAGGCGGACAUUUAAGUCAGGGGUGAAAUCCCGGAGCUCAACUUCGGAACUGCCUUUGAUACUGGCAAUCUAGAGUCCGGAAGAGGUUAGUGGAAUUCCCAGUGUAGAGGUGAAAUUCGUAGAUAUUGGGAAGAACACCAGUGGCGAAGGCGGCUAACUGGUCCGGUACUGACGCUAAGGUGCGAAAGCGUGGGGAGCAAACAGG